GGCAGCAGUGGGGAAUAUUGCCCAAUGGGCGCAAGCCUGAUGCAGCCAUGCCGCGUGUGUGAAGAAGGCCUUUCGGGUUGUAAAGCACUUUCAGCCGUGAGGAAGGCAUUGUACUUAAUACGUGCAGUGUUUGACGUUAGCGGCAGAAGAAGCACCGGCUAACUCCGUGCCAGCAGCCGCGGUAAUACGGAGGGUGCGAGCGUUAAUCGGAAUUACUGGGCGUAAAGCGCAUGCAGGCGGUCUGUUAAGCAAGAUGUGAAAGCCCCGGGCUUAACCUGGGAACCGCAUUUUGAACUGGCAGGCUAGAGUCUUGUAGAGGGGGGUAGAAUUUCAGGUGUAGCGGUGAAAUGCGUAGAGAUCUGAAGGAAUACCGGUGGCGAAGGCGGCCCCCUGGACAAAGACUGACGCUCAGAUGCGAAAGCGUGGGGAGCAAACAGGAUUAGAUACCCUGGUAGUCCACGCCGUAAACGAUGUCUACUUGGAGGCUGUAACCUUGAGUUGUGGCUUUCGGAGCUAACGCGUUAAGUAGACCGCCUGGGGAGUACGGUCGCAAGAUUAAAACUCAAAUGAAUUGACGGGGGCCCGCACAAGCGGUGGAGCAUGUGGUUUAAUUCGAUGCAACGCGAAGAACCUUACCUACUCUUGACAUCCAGAGAAGCUUGAAGAGAUUCGAGUGUGCCUUCGGGAACUCUGAGACAGGUGCUGCAUGGCUGU
rnacentral:rRNA from 1 species